GCCAGGCUGGAUGGGACGGUGAGCAACCUGGGCUAUGGGAGGUGUCCCUGCCUACAGCAGGGGGGUGGAACGAGGUGGUCUUAAAGGUCCCUUCCAACCCAAACCGUUCUGUGAUUCUAUGAUCUAAUUCUAACUUGUCAGAAAAUCUUUGGACUCCACAAUAAGGCACAUUAAUUAAAGUGGCUACAGGAACUACUGCACAUCUGAGCAGCUCCACGCUGUGUCCCUCCAGCACAAAUGAAGGCACUGAGGGAUGACAGCAGGACUGGCCGUGAGGGCAAUUCACACUCAAUUAGAGCCAUGUCUCCGGGCCCUGUCCCAGCACAGCAGCUGACGAGGAUGAUUGGCAUCACAAGGACCAUUCUGGACAGGUGAUUUUCACACCAACUCACUCCCCUUAUUUCCUCCCUGCGGCUUUAUUUUGAGAUACAGAGCCAGCCCAGCAUUACAGGUACUGCUUUAGGGAAAGGAAAGCGACACAGAAUGUAUGAACUCAGCACUUUAUUUGAUCAGUGCAAGCCCACAAUUACUCCAGAUUAGUUUUCUCCAAUAACUGAAUUCAUAAAUAACACGUUUGUCAUUUCUUUAAACACGGGUGACCGACAGUCAGUCCCAUUCUGAAUCCGCAUCCCUGCUCUGUUUUUACAGUUCAUCAAGGAAGGGAGUACUGCCCAGAUCUCCACUGGCUGCCAUCGAUUUCUUCCCGCUGACAAACUUCUUUGCAGCCUGAAAAAUACAUCGGAGAAAUUGAUGUAAGGAAACGUUCACUACAACAGA